UACGUAGGUCCCGAGCGUUGUCCGGAUUUAUUGGGCGUAAAGCGAGCGCAGGUGGUUUAUUAAGUCUGGUGUAAAAGGCAGUGGCUCAACCAUUGUAUGCAUUGGAAACUGGUAGACUUGAGUGCAGGAGAGGAGAGUGGAAUUCCAUGUGUAGCGGUGAAAUACGUAGAUAUAUGGAGGAACACCGGUGGCGAAAGCGGCUCUCUGGCCUGUAACUGACACUGAGGCUCGAAAGCGUGGGGAGCAAACAGG
rnacentral:rRNA from 1 species